rnacentral:rRNA from 1 species
CCCUUAGAUGUUCUGGGCCGCACGCGUGCUACACUGACCGGCGCAACAAGCUUUUUUCCUUGGCUCGACAGGCCUGGGUAAUCUUCGAACGCCGGUCGUGAUGGGGAUAGAUCCUUGCAAUUUUUGAUCUUCAACGAGGGAUUCCUAGUAAAUGCGAGUCAUCAUCUCGCGUUGAUUACGUCCCUGCCCUUUGUACACACCGCCCGUCGCACCUACCGAUUGAAUGGUCCGGUGAAGCCUCCGGAUUGCACAGGCCCCGUGUCUGGCGCGAGAAGUUGGCUAAACCUUACCAUUUAGAGGAAGGUGAAGUCGUAACA